ACAAAACACACGAAACGACUCCAAUCUCAUCUAGAAAUCAGCUCUCCAAAUCGAGAUCCUCCUUGGAAGAAACAAAACUCCUAGUUGCCUACCCACACCCCAUUCAUCAGGAAAGGUCACUUUAAAAGGACUCCCACAACACAAGAACGCUGGAAUCGCCCCUCGAGGAAGUGGCUGGCUCUCCGCCGAGGUCACACCGGGGAAGGCUGCGGCACCCCCGGCAGAUGCCGCCGGCCCACCCCGGGAAGGCGGCCCUUCCUCCUCCCUCCCUCGCCACGUCAGGAGCCGCGGACGAGAGGGCCACGCGUGUGGCUGGCGGGGCGGGAGCUCCGGACGCCGCUCGGUCCGCCGGCUGCCAGGCGGGUCCCGUGAGCCCGCGCGGGACGCCGGGUCUUCUCGCGCGGCGCGGCUGCGGCCCACGUCGCCGCCCCGCCCCGCCCGCGCCCCCACCCCGCCCCGGCCACUGAGCCCUCUGCGUAGGCCGCUCGGGCCCGGCUCCCUGGGUCCUGGGUCGGCCAACUGGGCCCCGCGUGCGCGGCGUGGCGACGGGCGGGCGCGCGAAGGCAGCCAGGGUGCUGCGGCUCAGGAUGCCUCAUGGGCCGCCGCGCUCCUGCGCCGCCCGCCCGGGGAGGGCGCCAGCCUCGGGCCUCACCUCUCUCGGGGGCCGCCACCGCUGCUGCCCGGGACGAGACGCCUCCUUCCCCAAGCGGCCAUCUUGGAGACUCUCUGCUUGCAAGCGACUCGCGCCGAGGCGGCCUGGGGAUGGUGGGUGGGCGGAAGGGAAAUGUAGUCCUAGCCGCAGCCCGGGACGGGGAGUGAGGCGGAGGCCGGGCUCCAGUGGACUACCAGGACCACAAUGCCUCGCGCGCCGGAAGCCCCGCCCGGGCCCUGGGAACCGCGGUCCGGCAGCGGGCGUGUCCUGCCGUUCCCCGCGAGUCGGUACGCCGGGUGUGCAGCCGGGGCAACACCAGCGUCCACCGCGGGCGCAGCCUUGAGCCUCGGGGGCAAAGAGCUGAAGGAGAGCUGGAAGGACGGUGCCGCAACUACGCGCCACCCCCAGCCUUUCCCGCGCCCCCGCCCCCGCCUUUCCCCACGAAGGCCACCGGGGCGGGAGGCACCCCCAGCUCUCUGGACUGCGGUGCUGCGCCGCGAACUCGACGGACGCGGUCUCUGCCGCGGAGGCCUCUGCGUGCGAGCUUCUGGAAGACCGAAGGCAAAGAGGAGAAAGUGGUCACAGCAUGUGGUAGUUGCUAUGAGAGAAACGGUAUCUGCGACGGAGAAAAGCCCGUUUUAGACAUAAGGGCCCCGGGCCCCUUCGGCCCUGCCCUACACGCCGCUCUGUCCCGGCUGCGGUGACAGAAACGUGAUCUUGUAUUUCGGUGUCUUUGACGGCAUUUGCAGGGCAAGUCACCCACCUCACAGCAGCCCUGCCUGGACGCUGCUGUAAAGAGGCACAGCCAAGAUGGACUAAAGGGAGCCCAGCUAUUCCUAGAUGCUCCCUCAGACGUGGGAGCUAUUUGGCGGAUCUUUGGCAGUUUUUGAACUGCUAGUCCCUCUUUUCCCACAACAUGGCUGAACAUUCGUGGGUCGCAUAGUUAGUCCCAUAAAUAUUGAGCAACUCUUCUAUGCCAAAAUCUGCCCAGAUCAGAGGCGGGAAGAAACGCAGCACCCGCUCUGAGCGCCGAGUGUGGUGGGACUCGGGAGCAGGGCUGGAGGACUGGUGGGUGUAGAUUUGACUCUUUAUCACGGAGGAUUCCUCAGGAUUUCCUUGCAGCUGAUGUUCUACAGUAGGUGUAAGUGCAUGAAGUCUCCUCCUUCGUUGCCUGACAUGUAAAAGUCGAACUCGGCACAGUCUAGACGCUCCUCUGCAGUUUGGAGGGUGCCUGCCUCCCCAGGUUCAACUGCCUACUUCUCAGACCUGGGACUUGCCGGGCUCGCAAAUUCAGAGGGUUUGAAGGUCCCCAGAUGUUCCAUGCUUUGCCUAAAAUACCUUUCUCUCCCUGCCAGCUUUGCUUCUAGACCUUGGGCCUGUGUGAUCCUUCAGAAGUAUCUGUUGGGUCAACCCUGCCUGCAGGUACCAACACGUGGUAUGUGCUAGAGAUCUCUGAACAACUACCAUGUUGGCUUGGCCCUGCCUAUGGCUAAGUCUGCUUUCUCUGGCCCCUUGUGGUGAUCAGGCUUUCUAGGGAUUUUAGAACAGCUGGGCUUGAAGCAUGGCUCCACACUCUGGAUCUGGAUCUUGUAUAACCUCUGUUUCUCAGUUUUCUUGUUUAUAAGGUGGGGGUGAUAUUAGAGACUCUCCUCAGAGGACUUCUCUGAGUAUUGCAUAAGAGGACAUGUGUAUGGAACUUAGAGCAGUGCACAAGGUGACGAUAACGGACGACUAUGGCAUGCCAAGCCCUGUUCUAAAUAUUUGAAGUGAUUUAACUCUUGAUCUUCAAAACAGCCCUAUGGAAGUGAUACUGUUACUAUCAACAUUAUCAUUUUGCAAAUAAGGAAACCAGGCUGCAGAGGACCCUAGUGAUUCACCAGGGCCAUGCUGCCUGUCAGGAUUGGUAUCAGGAUUUGAACCCAAGCUGUCUGGUUGCAGAGAUCACACCAUGCAGCGUGCCUCUCAGGAGGACCUCGGGAAAUGCCUGUCAUCUUUGAUGAGGACAGGUCCCAGCCCAAUGACUAGUGCUGGAGGAAAGGCUUCAAAAACAUGGGCUCCUUCUUCGUGUGCCUGGGACCUGAAAAUGGAUUUGGCUGCUGCCCAUGACUGCCUGGAUGCCUCCCAAAGAGGGUCCAGGGAGGCCUGGGGGUACACUAGGAAACUUCCAGGCCCACAGCAGGAGGGAGGUGUUUCCAUCCUGAUUCUGGCACCAAGCCACCUAGGGAACUUUGUAAUUCAUUUAUUCAACAAAUAUUUAUUGAGCAUUUCCUAUGUUGCCAGACACAGUUUUUGCCAUAAAGAAGAUGGGUAUGGUCCUUCCCUAGUGGAACUCUACUUGUAGUGGCAGGAGUUGGUCUAACAAGCAAGGAAACAAGAAAAUUCUAAGUAGUGAUUAAGAUCAGAAUAGGAUGUGGUAAUGGAAUAGAGAGUGCCCAGGGAGGCAACUUAGAUAGGGAGGUCAGGGAAGGAAACGUGUGCCUUUCCUUCUGCUUGGAAUAUGGUUGUGAUACCUGGAGGGAAAGCACCCAUUUUGUGACCUUUAAACAACAAGCAUGAAGGCAAAAGCCAUCAUGCUGAGGGUGGUGCAGACAGAAGAUGAAAAGCGGCUGGGUCUUCAGUGAAAUCACUGCACCACCACGCAAGCCCUGGACCUUCACUCUCCAGACCUCAUGAUAUGUAAGACGCGGAAGCAGAGGCCCAGAGCAGUGCCAGCGCCUCGUGAGUCGCACACAGCUGGGCCCUGGGAGGGCCGGUGCUGCUCAGAGAUGAUCUGACAAGCCCUGUUGGGGACGGGGGUGAAGUGCCACCUUCUCCCAAAGGCAGAAGCGCAGGGGAGGCUUCGGCGAUGACUGCGCCCCACUCCGCAGAUGGGGAAACUGAGGGGCAGGGACUUGCUUGAGAAGUCACAGGACUGCGGGAAGGAGAGGAUUAUUCUCUGAGAAGGGACUCGACCAGCCUACGUCCAGUUCCAUCUUUUUCGCACCAGAAGCUACAGUCCCUCUCAUCCACAGCUGUGCGCUGAACUCCGUGACUGUAGGUCACUGUUUACUAGUUGGUUAAUUAAGGUGUAAGCUCCUCGUUCACUCCCAUGUGACCACCACCCAAAUCAAGAUAGGGAACACUUGUGGUUCUCUGGGCCCUUCUAACCGGUGCCCCAUCCCAUGAGGUAACCUAUCCUUGACUUCUAGCGUCAUUGACUCAUUUGCUUUUCCUAGAACAUCAUAAAAACAAAAUCAUGUAGUACUGUCUUGCCAAUGGGUUUCAGCCCCUGGCAAGUUCACUAUGGAUUCAAUGUCACCAAAGAAAUUGACAGCAAAACGUUCUUGGGAUGAAAGGGUUAUACCCAACUUUAUUUCCAAGUGGCAGGUCAGUCACUAGAGUCCCAUUCACUCAAAGUGAGUCUGCAUGCAACAAGCUGGUCUCUGCCUCUGGGCCCCUCUGUCCGCACAGCCGUCCUCUGGGCCUCUCUGCACAACCAUCCUGCACAGCCGUCCUCUGGGCCCCUCUGUCCUCACAGCUGUCCUCUGGGCCCCUCUGCCCACACAGCCGUCCUCUGGGCCCCUCUGCAUAGUCGUCCCGCACAGCCAUCUUCUGGGCCCUUCUGUCCACACAGCUGUCCUCUGGGCUCCUCUGCCUGCACAGCCGUCCUGCACAGCCAUCCUCCGGGUCUCUCUGCACAGUCAUCCUGCAGAGCUGUCCUCUGGGCCUCUGUCCUUGGCGCUGCCAGCACUCCAGCCUCUGCUCUGCUCUCCUGCAGCCUUGCAGCCCUGCCACUGUGUCAUGCCCAGAGCACUGGGCAGAGCUCUUCAUAUAGAGUCAACAGCCAUGUAUUGCCCACAGGUGUGCAGUGAGCUAGUCAACCACAGGAAUUCUCAUUUUAUCCACAAGUACCUACUUUUUAGUGUCCAGCUUCCUUUUGUUCAGCAUUGAAUGUGUGAGAUUCAUCCGUGCUUUUGUGUCUUCCUCAUCACUCAAUAGUAUCCCAUUGUGUGCUAGCCACACACCUGUUGAUGGACAUUUGGGUUGCUUGACUAUUUUGACUAUUUUGAAUCAACCUGCUGUGGACAUCAUUGAACACAUCUUUUGGUGUCCUUAUUGUAGCAUGCCUCUUGGGAGCCACCAGGAAUACACUGUGGAUCUCAUACAAGGUGUAUUUUUACUAUUAGGAGAAAUUGCAGACCUUUUCUGAAGUGGCUGUACCAUUUUACACUCCUAUCAACAAUUUUGAGAGUUUCACUUGGUGUCACAGUGUUUCCAGUCUUUUUUAAGUUUAGCCAUUAUGAUUAGUGUGACAUGGGCUUUCACUGGCUUUCAUUUGUAUUUGCCUGAUGACUGAUGGUCCUGAGCCUUUUCCAUAUGCUCCUUGGCCAUUUGGGUAUCCACUUUUGUGAAAAGCUUGUUUAAGUAUUUUGCCUACUCAUUUUUCUUCUUUUUGAGUUGUUGGAGUUUGGUUUUCAGUCCUUUGUCAGAUAUUACUGAGAAUAUCCUAGCAUUUUUUUUUUAAGCAAGUGUCUUAUUAUAGAGUUCGAAAACAAAAGACGGCUGAGGUGUAGGUCAUUAUAUACAAGGAGACAGAAAGGGAUUCUGGGGUCAGAAGGGGCCUUGACCUCAGCUGAGUCAGGGCUGGCUGCAAUCCUGAGCAAGCAAGAUGUGACCUUGCAUAUGUCUCAGGUGACUUCUUUUGUUUACAAAGUACUUGAGUAGGGUGGGGAGGCCAGAAGAAGUGUCUGGAAAUUCCAUGAACAGGACAUGCCGUGCCCCAUUUGGGCCUUUGCAUCUGGUGUUGUCCAAACAUCACCUUCUCUGGGAAGCCCUCACUGGUGCUUACCAGCCAGCUUGGGUCCAGGGAGGCCCCUUAUUGAAUAAGUCUCUGGCAGGGUCCAGUGCACACCAGGCCCAUCCUAAGAGCCCUAGAUCCUCCCUGUUUUUGACUCAUUUCUUUCUCUCCUACUUUUGAAUGUCUAUUAAUUUGCUGGAGUCUUUAAACCUUGCAUAAAUCCUUUGUGGAACAAGCCUAUGGAUCAAUAAAAGAGUAAAGUGAGCAAUUGAUGUCUGCUGAGUUGAAUGGACUUGCUCUAUCUUUUGACCCAGAACAUGCUGGUCAUGAAAAAGACUUCGGGGAGGGGUGAAUCAAUGUGAGACCACUGAAGUUUGAAAGCAAAGUGGAGUCCCAGUAGUCUUGGAGGAGAUGGGCCCUGGGUGUUGAAAGCACCUAUGGCUCGGGCCUGGUGGGGCUGCAUGGAUAAGGAUAUCAUUUAUUCAGUCAAUUAUCUAUUCAUUUAGCAAAUAUUUAUUGAGCAUCUACUAUGUAAAGUGCUAUUCUAAGGGUACACAACAGUGAACAAAGCAAAACAAGCUCCUUGCCCUUUAGGAGCUUAUGUUCUGGAAGAGAGGGAGAUAAUAAAGAAAUACAUAAAUACACGGUCCAUCUUGUGGGGACAAGUGCCCCCGAGAGGGAUUCGUCUGGGAGGGUGUGGGGCAAGACCCUGGAGGAGGUUUCCGGCGGGACGGCCAGGACAUAGCUCAACUGACUUGGGGUCUUUUUAAUGACAGACUUGAAGCAGGUAAGGGAGUGAGUCAGGAGAUAUCAGGUGGCGGGGAAGGAGUGGUCAAGGCAGAGGACAGCCAGUGCCAAGGCCCUGAGGAGUGUUUGAAGAACAGGGUGGGGCUCUUAGCUUUUACUCUGAGCCAGGAGGGAGCCACAGGAGGAUUUUGAGGAUACAGUCUUAGGUUUUCUUGUGUUUCUUUUUAAUGCUGGAAAAUUUCAAUCUUAAAUGUAAAUGGAAUAGUAAAAUAAAUCCCAGUGUACCCAUCA